UACAGCGGGGGCAAGCGUUGUUCGGACUUACUGGGCGUAAAGGGCGCGUAGGCGGCCUUCUAAGUCGAACGUGAAAUCCCCGGGCUCAACCCGGGAACUGCGUCCGAUACUGGAAGGCUUGAAUCCGGGAGAGGGAUGCGGAAUUCCAGGUGUAGCGGUGAAAUGCGUAGAUAUCUGGAGGAACACCGGUGGCGAAGGCGGCAUCCUGGACCGGCAUUGACGCUGAGGCGCGAAAGCCAGGGGAGCAAACGGG
rnacentral:rRNA from 1 species